rnacentral:rRNA from 1 species
CAGGCUUAACACAUGCAAGUCGAGGGGCAGCAUGGUCUUAGCUUGCUAAGGCCGAUGGCGACCGGCGCACGGGUGAGUAACACGUAUCCAACCUGCCGUCUACUCUUGGACAGCCUUCUGAAAGGAAGAUUAAUACAAGAUGGCAUCAUGAGUCCGCAUGUUCACAUGAUUAAAGGUAUUCCGGUAGACGAUGGGGAUGCGUUCCAUUAGAUAGUAGGCGGGGUAACGGCCUACCUAGUCUUCGAUGGAUAGGGGUUCUGAGAGGAAGGUCCCCCACAUUGGAACUGAGACACGGUCCAAACUCCUACGGGAGGCAGCAGUGAGGAAUAUUGGUCAAUGGGCGAGAGCCUGAACCAGCCAAGUAGCGUGAAGGAUGACUGCCCUAUGGGUUGUAAACUUCUUUUAUAAAGGAAUAAAGUCGGGUAUGGAUACCCGUUUGCAUGUACUUUAUGAAUAAGGAUCGGCUAACUCCGUGCCAGCAGCCGCGGUAAUACGGAGGAUCCGAGCGUUAUCCGGAUUUAUUGGGUUUAAAGGGAGCGUAGAUGGAUGUUUAAGUCAGUUGUGAAAGUUUGCGGCUCAACCGUAAAAUUGCAGUUGAUACUGGAUAUCUUGAGUGCAGUUGAGGCAGGCGGAAUUCGUGGUGUAGCGGUGAAAUGCUUAGAUAUCACGAAGAACUCCGAUUGCGAAGGCAGCCUGCUAAGCUGCAACUGACAUUGAGGCUCGAAAGUGUGGGUAUCAAACAGGAUUAGAUACCCUGGUAGUCCACACGGUAAACGAUGAAUACUCGCUGUUUGCGAUAUACUGCAAGCGGCCAAGCGAAAGCGUUAAGUAUUCCACCUGGGGAGUACGCCGGCAACGGUGAAACUCAAAGGAAUUGACGGGGGCCCGCACAAGCGGAGGAACAUGUGGUUUAAUUCGAUGAUACGCGAGGAACCUUACCCGGGCUUAAAUUGCAGAUGAAUUACGGUGAAAGCCGUAAGCCGCAAGGCAUCUGUGAAGGUGCUGCAUGGUUGUCGUCAGCUCGUGCCGUGAGGUGUCGGCUUAAGUGCCAUAACGAGCGCAACCCUUGUUGUCAGUUACUAACAGGUUCCGCUGAGGACUCUGACAAGACUGCCAUCGUAAGAUGUGAGGAAGGUGGGGAUGACGUCAAAUCAGCACGGCCCUUACGUCCGGGGCUACACACGUGUUACAAUGGGGGGUACAGAGGGCCGCUACCACGCGAGUGGAUGCCAAUCCCCAAAACCUCUCUCAGUUCGGACUGGAGUCUGCAACCCGACUCCACGAAGCUGGAUUCGCUAGUAAUCGCGCAUCAGCCACGGCGCGGUGAAUACGUUCCCGGGCCUUGUACACACCGCCCGUCAAGCCAUGGGAGCCGGGGGUACCUGAAGUGCGUAACCGCGAGGAGCGCCCUAGGGUAAAACUGGUG